CCUACGGGUGGCAGCAGUGAGGAAUAUUGGACAAUGGGCGAAAGGCUGAACCAGCCAAGUCGCGUGAAGGAAGAAGGAUCUAUGGUUUGUAAACGUCGUUUAUAGGGGAAUAAAGGUAUCCACGUGUGGAUAUUUGUUUGUACCCUAUGAAUAAGCAUCGGCUAACUACGUGCCAGCAGCCGCGGUAAUACGGAGGAUGCGAGCGUUAUCCGGAUUUAUUUGGUUUAAGGGGUGCGUAGGUUGUUUUUUAAGUCAGCGGUGAAAGUUUGUGGCUCAACCAUAGAAUUGCCGUUGAAACUGGGAGACUUGAGUGUGUUUGAGGUAGGCGGAAUGCGUGGUGUAGCGGUGAAAUGCAUAGAUAUCACGCAGAACUCCGAUUGCGAAGGCAGCUUACUAAGCCAUAACUGACACUGAGGCACGAAAGCGUGGGGAUCAAACAGGAUUAGAUACCCUGGUAGUC
rnacentral:rRNA from 1 species